rnacentral:rRNA from 1 species
UCAAGUAAGUAAGGGCGUACGGCGGAUGCCUUGGCCAUAUCAGCCGAAGAAGGACGCGAUAAGCUGCGAUAAGCUGCGGUGAGGUGCAAGUAACCUUUGACCCGCAGAUCUCCGAAUGGGGAAACCCGGCAGCAGUAGUGCUGUCAUCCUCUAUGAGGAAGGGCACCCGGUGAACUGAAACAUCUAAGUAGCCGGAGGAAAAGGAAUCAACAGAGAUACCCCUAGUAGCGGCGAGCGAACGGGGCAGAGCCCAAACCGGGAUGGGAAACCAAUCCGGGGUUGUGGACUGCUAUCAAAUGCAUGAGUGAAGCAGAAUGAGCUGGGAAGCUCAGCCAGAGAGAGUGAGAGCCUCGUAGGCGUAAGCGAAUGCAUGGAGCAGGAUCCGGAGUACCACGGGACACGAGAAACCCUGUGGGAAGCUGGGGGGACCACCCUCCAAGGCGAAACACUGAUAUGGACCGAUAGCGCAUAGUACCGUGAGGGAAAGGUGAAAAGAACCCCGGGAGGGGAAUGAAAGAGAACCUGAAACCGUAUGUCUACAAGCAGUCGAAGACCUUUAUAUGGUCGACGGCGUGCCUAUUGAAGAAUGAACCGGCGAGUUACUUCAGCUAGCGAGGUUAAGCAGAAAAUGCGGAGCCGCAGCGAAAGCGAGUCUGAACAGGGCGUAUAGUUAGUUGGAGUAGACCCGAAACCACAGUGAUCUACCCAUGUCCAGGUUGAAGCACAGGUAAAAAUGUGUGGAGGACCGAACCAGUGAGCGUUGAAAAGCUUUUGGAUGAGAUGUGGGUAGGGGUGAAAUGCCAAUCGAACGUGGAGAUAGCUGGUUCUCCCCGAAAUAGCUUUAGGGCUAGCCUCAUGGCGAGAGUACAGGCGGUAGAGCACUGAACGGGGUAGGGGCCUAUCCGGCUACUGAACCUAAUCAAACUGCGAAUGGCUGUACUUAUCCAUGGGAGUCAGACUGUGAGUAAUAAGGCCCAUAGUCAAGAGGGAAACAGCCCAGACCAACAGCUAAGGUCCCCAAUGCCGUACUAAGUGGCGAAGGAUGUGGAAUUUCGAAAACAACCAGGAUGUUGGCUCAGAAGCAGCCACCAUUAAAAGAGUGCGUAAUAGCUCACUGGUCGAGAGACUCUGCGCCGAAGAUGUCCGGGGCUAAAGUACGGAACCGAAGCUUUGGCAAUUAACAUAAGUUAAUUGGGUAGGGGAGCGUUCCUGCAUGGGAGAAGCCUGACCGGAAGGACAGGUGGACAGGCAGGAAGAGAGAAUGCCGGUAUGAGUAGCGAAAAGAAGGGUGAGAAUCCCUUCCACCGAAAGCCUAAGGGUUCCUGGGCAACGAUCGUCGUCCCAGGGUAAGUCGGGACCUAAUCCGAGGCGGAGACGCGUAGGAGAUGGACAACAGGUUGAAAUUCCUGUACUGGCUGAGGCCGUUUGAGCGAAGGAGUGACACAGGAAGGAAGGCGCGCGUGCGAUUGGAAGAGCACGUCCAAGCAGGUAGGUCGGGAGACAGGCAAAUCCGUUUCCCAGAAGGCCGAGAUGCGAUGGGGAGCUUCUGGAGACAGAAGCGAAGGGGCUGGCACUAAACUGUCGAGAAAAGCUUCUAGUGAGGACUCAGGCACCCGUACCGAAACCGACACAGGUAGGCAGGAUGAGAAUUCUAAGGUGCGCGGGAAAACCCUCGUUAAGGAACUCGGCAAAAUAUAUCCGUAACUUCGGGAAAAGGAUAACCCAGCGUACGUGAAGUGCAGAAGCGCAUGGAGCGGAGAUGGGUGGCAGAAGAGAGGCCCAAGCGACUGUUUACCACAAACACAGGCGUCUGCUAAAGCGAAAGCUGAUGUAUAGAUGCUGACACCUGCCCGGUGCUGGAAGGUUAAGAGGAAGUGUUAGCGCAAGCGAAGCAGUGAAUUGAAGCCCCAGUAAACGGCGGCCGUAACUAUAACGGUCCUAAGGUAGCGAAAUUCCUUGUCGGGUAAGUUCC